rnacentral:piRNA from 1 species
GUACAGAGCAGCGUCCCUUUGGUUUGGCCC